rnacentral:rRNA from 1 species
GACGAACCGUGCGAACGUUGUUCGGAUUCACUGGGCUUAAAGGGCGCGUAGGCGGACGGUCAAGUCAGGGGUGAAAUCUUUCAGCUCAACUGGAAAAGUGCCUCUGAUACUGAUCGUCUCGAGGGAGGUAGGGGCAUGUGGAACUUCCGGUGGAGCGGUGAAAUGCGUAGAUAUCUGGAAGAACACCAAAGGCGAAGGCAGUGUCCUGGGUGGUCGCUGACGCUGAGAGGCGAAAGCCAGGGGAGCGAACGGG